CUACGGGGUGCAGCAGUAGGGAAUCUUCGGCAAUGGACGGAAGUCUGACCGAGCAACGCCGCGUGAGUGAAGAAGGUUUUCGGAUCGUAAAGCUCUGUUGUAAGAGAAGAACGAGUGUGAGAGUGGAAAGUUCACACUGUGACGGUAUCUUACCAGAAAGGGACGGCUAACUACGUGCCAGCAGCCGCGGUAAUACGUAGGUCCCGAGCGUUGUCCGGAUUUAUUGGGCGUAAAGCGAGCGCAGGCGGUUAGAUAAGUCUGAAGUUAAAGGCUGUGGCUUAACCAUAGUACGCUUUGGAAACUGUUUAACUUGAGUGCAGAAGGGGAGAGUGGAAUUCCAUGUGUAGCGGUGAAAUGCGUAGAUAUAUGGAGGAACACCGGUGGCGAAAGCGGCUCUCUGGUCUGUAACUGACGCUGAGGCUCGAAAGCGUGGGGAGCAAACAGGAUUAGAUACCCUUGUAGUC
rnacentral:rRNA from 1 species